rnacentral:tRNA from 1 species
ACGACUGUAACUCGGACAGACCAACGGCCUCCUAAGCCGCGUGGAAGCAGGUUCAACUCCUGUCGGUCGUG